CCGGAGGAAGGUGGGGAUGACGUCAANUCCUCAUGGCCCUUAUAGGUGGGGCUACACACGUCAUACAAUGGCCGGUACAAAGGGCAGCCAACCCGCGAGGGGGAGCCAAUCCCAUAAAGCCGGUCGUAGUCCGGAUNGCAGUCNGCAACUCGACUGCGUGAAGUCGGAAUCGCUAGUAAUCGUGGAUCAGCAUGUCNCGGUGAAUACGUUCCCGGGUCUUGUACACNCCGCCCGUCACNCCAUGGGAGCGGGUCUNNCCAGAAGUAGGUAGCCUAACNGCAAGGAGGG
rnacentral:rRNA from 1 species